rnacentral:rRNA from 1 species
UACGAAGGGGGCUAGCGUUGUUCGGAAUUACUGGGCGUAAAGCGCGCGUAGGCGUCUUGUAAGUUAGAGGUGAAAGCCCGGAGCUCAACUCCGGAAUUGCCUUUAAGACUGCAUCGCUAGAAUCAUGGAGAGGUGAGUGGAAUUCCGAGUGUAGAGGUGAAAUUCGUAGAUAUUCGGAAGAACACCAGUGGCGAAGGCGAACUCACUGGACAUGUAUUGACGCUGAGGUGCGAAAGCGUGGGGAGCAAACAGG